ensembl:rRNA 5S_rRNA 5S ribosomal RNA
UUCUACAGCCACACCACCUUGAACAUGCUCGAGCUCAUCUGAUCUUGGGAACAUAAGCAAAGUCAGGCCUCGUUAGUACUUGGAUGUGACUAAGGAGGGAAGGAGGAAGAAA